rnacentral:rRNA from 1 species
AUACGGAGGAUGCAAGCGUUAUCCGGAUUUAUUGGGUUUAAAGGGUGCGUAGGCGGUUUGCUAAGCGGGAGGUGAAAUGCCGGCGCUCAACGUCGGAAGUGCCUCCCGAACUGGUGGACUUGAAUGACUCUGCCGUGGGAGGAAUGUGUAGUGUAGCGGUGAAAUGCUUAGAGAUUACACAGAACACCGAUUGCGAAGGCAUCUCACGAAGGGUUGAUUGACGCUGAGGCACGAAAGCGUGGGGAUCAAACAGGAUUAGAUACCCUGGUAGUCCGCACAGUAAACGAUGGACACCCGCGGUUUGGCCUGUAUGGCUGAGCCGCCAAGCGAAAGCGUUAAGUGUCCCACCUGGGGAGUACGCCGGCAACGGUGAAACUCAAAUGAAUUGACGGGG